AACGCGAAGAACCUUACCUACCUUUGAAUCCACGGAAUCUUACAGAGAUGUAGGAGUGCCUUCGGGAACCGUGAGACAGGUGCUGCAUGGCUGUCGUCAGCUCGUGUCGUGAGAUGUUGGGUUAAGUCCCGUAACGAGCGCAACCCUUGUCCUUAGUUACCAGCGAGUAAAGUCGGGUACUUUAAGGAGACUGCCGGUGAUAAACCGGAGGAAGGUGGGGAUGACGUCAAGUCCUCAUGGCCCUUACAGGUAGGGCUACACACGUGCUACAAUGGCCGGUACAGAGGGUUGCCAACCCGCGAGGGGGAGCUAAUCCCAAAAAGCCGGUCGUAGUCCGGAUUGGAGUCUGCAACUCGACUCCAUGAAGUUGGAAUCGCUAGUAAUCGCGGAUCAGAACGCCGCGGUGAAUACGUUCCCGGGCCUUGUACACACCGCACUACUA
rnacentral:rRNA from 1 species